UGGGGAAUAUUGGGCAAUGGGCGCAAGCCUGACCCAGCAACGCCGCGUGAAGGAAGAAGGCUUUCGGGUUGUAAACUUCUUUUGUCGGGGACGAAACAAAUGACGGUACCCGACGAAUAAGCCACGGCUAACUACGUGCCAGCAGCCGCGGUAAUACGUAGGUGGCAAGCGUUAUCCGGAUUUACUGGGUGUAAAGGGCGUGUAGGCGGGAUUGCAAGUCAGAUGUGAAAACUGGGGGCUCAACCUCCAGCCUGCAUUUGAAACUGUAGUUCUUGAGUGCUGGAGAGGCAAUCGGAAUUCCGUGUGUAGCGGUGAAAUGCGUAGAUAUACGGAGGAACACCAGUGGCGAAGGCGGAUUGCUGGACAGUAACUGACACUGAGGCGCGAAAGCGUGGGGAGCAAACAGG
rnacentral:rRNA from 1 species